rnacentral:tRNA from 1 species
ACCACUGAGAUAGCUCAGUUGGUAGAGCAUGAGACUCUUCAUCUCAAGGUUGUGGGUUCGAAUCCCACCUUGGGCA